rnacentral:rRNA from 1 species
UACGAAGGGGGCUAGCGUUGCUCGGAAUCACUGGGCGUAAAGCGCACGUAGGCGGAUUGUUAAGUCAGGGGUGAAAUCCUGGAGCUCAACUCCAGAACUGCCUUUGAUACUGGCAAUCUCGAGUCCGGGAGAGGUGAGUGGAACUCCGAGUGUAGAGGUGAAAAUUCGUAGAUAUUCGGAAGAACACCAGUGGCGAAGGCGGCUCACUGGCCCGGUACUGACGCUGAGGUGCGAAAACGUGGGGACAAACAGG